CCCAAAGUCAUGGUUAAGUGGGAAACGAUGUGGGAAGGCCCAGACAGCCAGGAUGUUGGCUUAGAAGCAGCCAUCAUUUAAAGAAAGCGUAAUAGCUCACUGGUCGAGUCGGCCUGCGCGGAAGAUGUAACGGGGCUAAACCAUGCACCGAAGCUGCGGCAGCGAACGUAUCACUUAAAGCGAUUCAGCGGGUUACGAUUGACGGAGCGAAGCGACGUCAAAGCGUAUACAAAGUCGAGUCGGUUUAAGGAUACGUUCGUUGGGUAGGGGAGCGUUCUGUAAGCCUGCGAAGGUGGCCUGUGAGGGUUGCUGGAGGUAUCAGAAGUGCGAAUGCUGACAUAAGUAACGAUAAAGCGGGUGAAAAGCCCGCUCGCCGGAAGACCAAGGGUUCCUGUCCAACGUUAAUCGGGGCAGGGUGAGUCGACCCCUAAGGCGAGGCCGAAAGGCGUAGUCGAUGGGAAACGGGUUAAUAUUCCCGUACUUGGUGUUACUGCGAAGGGGGGACGGAGAAGGCUAUGUUGGCCGGGCGACGGUUGUCCCGGUUUAAGCGUGUAGGUGUGUGUUCCAGGUAAAUCCGGUUCACUUUAACACUGAGGCGUGANGACGAGGCACUACGGUGCUGAAGCAACAAAUGCCCUGCUUCCAGGAAAAGCCUCUAAGCAUCAGGUAACAUCAAAUCGUACCCCAAACCGACACAGGUGGUCAGGUAGAGAAUACCAAGGCGCUUGAGAGAACUCGGGUGAAGGAACUAGGCAAAAUGGUGCCGUAACUUCGGGAGAAGGCACGCUGACACGUAGGUGAAGUGAUUUACUCAUGGAGCUGAAGUCAGUCGAAGAUACCAGCUGGCUGCAACUGUUUAUUAAAAACACAGCACUGUGCAAACACGAAAGUGGACGUAUACGGUGUGACGCCUGCCCGGUGCCGGAAGGUUAAUUGAUGGGGUCAGCGCAAGCGAAGCUCCUGAUCGAAGCCCCGGUAAACGGCGGCCGUAACUAUAACGGUCCUAAGGUAGCGAAAUUCCUUGUCGGGUAAGUUCCGACCUGCACGAAUGGCGUAAUGAUGGCCAGGCUGUCUCCACCCGAGACUCAGUGAAAUUGAACUCGCUGUGAAGAUGCAGUGUACCCGCGGCAAGACGGAAAGACCCCGUGAACCUUUACUAUAGCUUGACACUGAACAUUGAGCCUUGAUGUGUAGGAUAGGUGGGAGGCUUUGAAGUGUGGACGCCAGUCUGCAUGGAGCCGACCUUGAAAUACCACCCUUUAAUGUUUGAUGUUCUAACGUGGACCCGUNAUCCGGGUUGCGGACAGUGUCUGGUGGGUAGUUUGACUGGGGCGGUCUCCUCCUAAAGAGUAACGGAGGAGCACGAAGGUUGGCUAAUCCUGGUCGGACAUCAGGAGGUUAGUGCAAUGGCAUAAGCCAGCUUGACUGCGAGCGUGACGGCGCGAGCAGGUGCGAAAGCAGGUCAUAGUGAUCCGGUGGUUCUGAAUGGAAGGGCCAUCGCUCAACGGAUAAAAGGUACUCCGGGGAUAACAGGCUGAUACCGCCCAAGAGUUCAUAUCGACGGCGGUGUUUGGCACCUCGAUGUCGGCUCAUCACAUCCUGGGGCUGAAGUAGGUCCCAAGGGUAUGGCUGUUCGCCAUUUAAAGUGGUACGCGAGCUGGGUUUAGAACGUCGUGAGACAGUUCGGUCCCUAUCUGCCGUGGGCGCUGGAGAACUGAGGGGGGCUGCUCCUAGUACGAGAGGACCGGAGUGGACGCAUCACUGGUGUUCGGGUUGUCAUGCCAAUGGCACUGCCCGGUAGCUAAAUGCGGAAGAGAUAAGUGCUGAAAGCAUCUAAGCACGAAACUUGCCCCGAGAUGAGUUCUCCCUGAGACUUAGAGUCUCCUGAAGGAACGUUGAAGACGACGACGUUGAUAGGCCGGGUGUGUAAGCGCAGCGAUGCGUUGAGCUAACCGGUACUAAUGAACCGUGAGGCUUAACCUUACAACGCCGAAG
rnacentral:rRNA from 1 species